UCGAUACGCGCAUCGCGGAAACGCCCCCUCCCCUACUCGACACAAGCUUCGAAGCUUCCUUAGGGAACGUCACAUCACUAAGUGCAUCAAGGUCCAGUGAAUGGCUCUGGAGCAGAAGAAAGGAGACAUCUCUACUACAAAUCACACCCAAAGUAGCAGCAUGAUUAGAUACUGUAGCACUGCAGGCCCUCCAUGCAGCAAUACAUGUGACCUUUACAUGAUGAACCAUGAGGAGCUACAGCUUUGACAUAUCGUUUUGUCUUGGGAGGCUUAGCUAAGAGGCUCAACUUUCCUCAGUGUGGAGAGUUCUGAGGCCUUUUGAAAGGCCACUCUCCAUUUUCAGAACAUUUAACAAGCACCUCCGACAGACUGUAUUUGGUUGGUCCCCAUGAAUCAUAUCUGCUCACCCACAUCAUCCUCGUUUAUUUGUUCUAAUGUGUUCUCAGCUUUUAGAAAAAGAGAACUUUUUUUUUUAUCUUUGUGCUGAGCUCAAAUUUUUUUUUUGUCAAUAUCUCUUUCUAGCACACGUGUUCUAAGGUCUGUUUGGAAACUAUGUGCCUAAUGUUUGCUUUGAUUUAAUUCAAAAUUUACAUGAAACUUUGAAGGUGAAAUGCUAGUGUUGGUUACUACUGUAGGAAGCCAUGGGUGAGAGGCACUUAGCUUAGUUUUGCACAAAGACUGGACUUGUUAAACGUUGGAGAAAGAUUGUGGUCACAGUUAAAAAUCAGGAGACUUUAACUGGUGGUACAUGACAGGUCCAAUGCAUAACAUGACUUUCUACCACGCAGUCACCACACCCUCACUUCCCACUUGUGACUUAAAGGGCACACCACUUCCUGCAUCAGUGGAUGUCAGCACUAAAUUGUAAGGCACAGAAUCAUCCAAAAUUAACAAAAAAAAAUCCAAACAUGACAUCUGAAUUCCCCCGCCCCCCAUUGUUUUCUCUUAUUUUUCUGCAAGGUUUAUAUGCUUGAGUGGAAACUGUAUGUCUUGAAGGCUAGAGCUUCCAACUAGAGUGGCUUUAUAAAACAUCCCAUGUUUUCAGCUGCUUUGCUGAUUAAAAAUGUAGACAAUAAGCACAAAACCUCCAAGCUCAACUUAUUCAUUUAUUUUCAUACCAAACCAAGGUGAACCACAUCCACUGGCUGCCUGAAAAGUAGUGAAAAACAAGCUGAACACACCAUGAAAUUUUUAGGAGCAAAUGCUGACUGUAAUAUUAAUAAUGUGACUUUAAUGACCAAAGUACUUUAAUGGAAUAAACCAGGAAAACACUCCUUUAUAGUCAUUAUAUUCGGAAGUGUCAUCAGGACGUUCUUCUGUUCGGGGUCUUUCUGCUGGAUACAACAACCAAGUUGUUUAUUUUGAGGGAGAGAAAAACACAUUUGGAAACCUUCAGCUCCCAAAAGAAAAAGACAUUCACUUUGAAGACGAGCAGUGAUGUCGGCAUGUGUAACAAAGCACCAGCAUGACUUCGAGGGGGGAAAAAAAGCAAAUAGA